AGUUUGAAUUCAGGUUGCGUGAUGCCGACAGCUUUGUUCUUUUUGCUUAGGAUUGUCUUGCCUGUGCAGGUUCUUUUUUGCUUCCAUGUGAAGUUCAAUGUGGUUUUGUCCAGUUCUGUGAAGAAGGUAAUUGGUAGUUUGAUGGGGAUAGUGUUAAAUCUAUAAAUUACUUUGGGCAGUAUGGCUUUUUUCACAAUAUUGAUUCUUCCUAACCAUGAUCAUGGAAUGUUUUUCCAUCUGUUUGUGUCCUCUCUGAUUUCUUUGAGCAGUGGUUCAUAGUUCUCCUUGAAGAAGUCCUUUGCAUCCUUUCUUAGUUGUAAAAAUUCCUAGGUAUUUUAUUCUCUUUGUAGCAAUUGUGAAUGGGAGUUUGCUUAUGAUUUGGCUCUUUUUUAGUCUGUUAUUGGU